UCGUGCUAGAUGGGGAGGUAGCGGUGCCCUGAACCCGCAAACCGCUAUAGCGGGAUUGAAUUCCUGCCCCAGGGUUUAACUUGUGGGGUCCGGCUCCUGUAAGGGGUGUUGACGGUUGGGUCUUGCGCGACGGGGGCUCCUGAACCGUGUCAGGUCCUGACGGAAGCAGCACUAAGGGAAUACCUCCGGGUGCCGCAAGGGUGCCUGGCCCGAGCUACCUGCAGGGGUAUCGCCCGGAAGUUAUUAUUCAAAGGCGGGUGCACGG
rnacentral:SRP_RNA from 1 species